CCUACGGGAGGCUGCAGUGGGGGAUAUUGCACAAUGGGGGGAACCCUGAUGCAGCGACGCCGCGUGGGUGAAGGAGCGUUUCGGCGCGUAAAGCCCUAUCGGCAGGGAAGAAGAUGAUGGUACCUGGCCAAGAAGCUCCGGCUAACUACGUGCCAGCAGCCGCGGUAAGACGUAGGGGGCAAGCGUUAUCCGGAUUUACUGGGUGUAAAGGGGGCGCAGACGGCAAUGCAAGACAGGAGUGAAAGCCCGGGGCCCAACCCCGGGACUGCCGUUGGAACUGCAUGGCGGGAGUACAGGAGGGGCAGGCGGAAUUCCUAGUGUAGCGGUGAAAUGCGUAGAUAUUAGGAGGAACACCGGUGGCGAAGGCGGCCUGCUGGACUGUGACUGACGUUGAGGCCCGAAGGCGUGGGGAGCAAACAGGAUUAGAUACCCCUGUAGUC
rnacentral:rRNA from 1 species